rnacentral:rRNA from 1 species
GAUGAACGCUGGCGGCGUGCUUAACACAUGCAAGUCGAACGGAAAGGCUCCUGCUUGCAGGGGUACUCGAGUGGCGAACGGGUGAGUAACACGUGGGUGAUCUGCCCUGCACUUCGGGAUAAGCCUGGGAAACUGGGUCUAAUACCGGAUAGGACGAUGGUUUGGAUGCCAUUGUGGAAAGUUUUUCGGUGUGGGAUGAGCUCGCGGCCUAUCAGCUUGUUGGUGGGGUAAUGGCCUACCAAGGAGUCGACGGGUAGCCGGCCUGCGAGGGUGUACGGCCAGAUUGGGACUGAGAUACGGCCCAGUCUCCUACGGGAGGCAGCAGUGGGGAAUAUUGCACAAUGGGCGCAAGCCUGAUGCAGCGACGCCGCGUGGGAGAUGACGGCCUUCGGGUUGUAAACUCCUUUCGCUAGGGACGAAACGCAAGUGACGUUACCUUGGGGAGAAGCACCGGCUAACUACGUG